rnacentral:tRNA from 1 species
GUCUCUGUGGCACAAUCGGUUAGCGCUUUCGGCUGUUAAUCUAGAGGUUGGUGGUUAGAGCCCACUGAGGGACG